rnacentral:rRNA from 1 species
UAAGGAAUAUUGGUCAAUGGACGCAAGUCUGAACCAGCCAUGCCGCGUGGAGGAUUAAGGCCCUCUGGGUUGUAAACUCCUUUUAUCUGGGAAGAAAUGUACUUUUUCUUGAGUACUUGACGGUACCAGAGGAAUAAGCACCGGCUAACUCCGUGCCAGCAGCCGCGGUAAUACGGAGGGUGCAAGCGUUAUCCGGACUCACUGGGUUUAAAGGGUGCGUAGGUGGGCAGGUAAGUCAGUGGUGAAAUCUCCGGGCUUAACCCGGAAACUGCCGUUGAUACUAUUUGUCUUGAAUAUUGUGGAGGUAAGCGGAAUAUGUCAUGUAGCGGUGAAAUGCUUAGAUAUGCCAUAGAACACCCAUUGCGAAGGCAGCUAACUACGGGUAUAUUGACGCUGAGGCACGAAAGCGUGGGGAUCAAAC